CUCUCUUCUGCGGGAUCCAUCUAAAGCACAAAACAAGAAUUGAUUAGCACAAAAAAACUGUAAAAUACGAUCAUACCAACUGUCUAUCCAACCCAGUUUAAUAUAUCAAACCACAAAUCGAAACCCCCAAAUUUUUUUUUAACCCUAAUUCGAAAACCCCUAUUCGAUUUUCAAUCCGCAAAUCUCGGACCAUUAAUCGAUAAAUAGAACCCGUAGACGAGGUUAUACAACCCUAGAUC
rnacentral:lncRNA from 1 species